rnacentral:rRNA from 1 species
ACCUCUGACUGGAGAAUAGCCCGAAGAAAUUCGGAUUAAUGCUCCAUAAGACCACGAUACCCGCAUGAUAAAGUGGUAAAAGUUCCGACGGUUAGAGAUGGGCAUGCGUGCCAUUAGUUUGUUGGUGAGGUAAUGGCUCACCAAUGCAACGAUGGCUAGGGGGUCUGAGAGGAUGAUCCCCCACACUGGUACUGAGACACGGACCAGACUCCUACGGGAGGCAGCAGUGAGGAAUAUUGGUCAAUGGACGCAAGUCUGAACCAGCCAUGCCGCGUGCAGGAUGAAUGCCCUAUGGGUUGUAAACUGCUUUUCUACAAGAAGAAACCCCUUGACACGUCAAGGGCUGACGGUAUUGUAGGAAUAAGCAUCGGCUAACUCCGUGCCAGCAGCCGCGGUAAUACGGAGGAUGCAAGCGUUAUCCGGAUUCAUUGGGUUUAAAGGGUGCGUAGGCGGGGUAGUAAGUCAGUGGUGAAAGCCUGCGGCUUAACCGUAGAAUUGCCAUUGAUACUGCUAUUCUUGAGUGCAGUUGAGGUAGGCGGAAUGUGUAAUGUAGCGGUGAAAUGCUUUAGAUAUUACACAGAACACCGAUUGCGUAGGCAGCUUACUAAACUGUUACUGACGCUGAGGCACGAAAGCGUGGGGGAGCGAACAGGAUUAGAUACCCUGGUAGUCCACGCUGUAAACGAUGAUCACUCGCUGUUGGCGAUACACUGUCAGCGGCUGAGCGAAAGCAUUAAGUGAUCCACCUGGGGAGUACGGCCGCAAGGUUUGAAACUCAAAGGAAUUGACGGGGGCCCGCACAAGCGGUGGAACAUGUGGUUUAAUUCGAUGAUACGCGAGGAACCUUACCUGGGCUUAAAUGCAGAACGACGUACCGGGAAACUGGUAUUCCCUUCGGGGCGGACUGCAAGGUGCUGCAUGGUUGUCGUCAGCUCGUGCCGUGAGGUGUCGGGUUAAGCCCCAUAACGAGCGCAACCCUCAUCGUUAGUUGCCAGCGAGUAAUGUCGGGGACUCUAACGAAACUGCCGGUGUAAACCGUGAGGAAGGUGGGGAUGACGUCAAAUCAGCACG